UUCAGCUCUUCUAAAAAAAAAAAAAGGUAACAAGAUGGUCUAGAAGUCUCCAGUUCUGAUAGCUGUGAAGGGUAGCCAGAAGACCACACAGGAGCAAGAUGUUAGAAAGGAUGUGUAUCUGGUGGAUUUGAUCCUCAGCUCCCAUUUUCUUCAGUUCAGCUUCUGUCAGGUGGAGCAAAUCCUGGAACCGGCCCAACAAAAAAGAAGAUGGUUGAGAAAAUAUUAACUUUGUUCAUUUUUUAAGUAAUAAAAUUCUUUUU